rnacentral:rRNA from 1 species
UCCUACGGGAGGCAGCAGAGGGGAAUCUUGCACAAUGGGCGCAAGCCUGAUGCAGCGAUGCCGCGUGCGGGAAGAAGGCCCUAGGGUUGUAAACCGCUUUCAGUAGGGAAGAAAAUGACGGUACCUACAGAAGAAGGUGCGGCCAANUACGUGCCAGCAGCCGCGGUGACACGUAGGCACCAAGCGUUAUCCGGAUUUAUUGGGCGUAAAGAGCUCGUAGGCGGUUUGGUAAGUCGGGUGUGAAAACUCUGGGCUCAACCCAGAGAGGCCACUCGAUACUGCUAUGACUAGAGUACGGUAGGGGAGCGGGGAAUUCCUGGUGUAGCGGUGAAAUGCGCAGAUAUCAGGAGGAACACCAGCGGCGAAGGCGCCGCUCUGGGCCGUAACUGACGCUGAGGAGCGAAAGCAUGGGUAGCAAACAGGAUUAGAUACCCUGGUAGUCCAUGCCGUAAACG